GACGUAGGAGGCGAGCGUUGUCCGGAUUCAUUGGGCGUAAAGAGCGCGCAGGCGGCUUGGUAAGUCGGAUGUGAAAUCCCGAGGCUCAACCUCGGGUCUGCAUCCGAUACUGCCCGGCUAGAGGUAGGUAGGGGAGAUCGGAAUUCCUGGUGUAGCGGUGAAAUGACGCAGAUAUCAGGAGGAACACCGGUGGCGAAGGCGGAUCUCUGGGCCUUACCUGACGCUCAGGCGCGAAAGCUAGGGGAGCGAACUGG
rnacentral:rRNA from 1 species